rnacentral:tRNA from 1 species
GCCCGGUUAGCUCAAUCGGUAGAGCGUGAGACUCUUACUAGAGUACACGAAAAUCAUCUCAAGGUUGCGGGUUCGACCCCCGCAUCGGGCU